rnacentral:rRNA from 1 species
GACGAACGCUGGCGGCGCGCUUAACACAUGCAAGUCGAGCGAGAACCAGGGCUUCGGCCCUGGGGACAGCGGCGAACGGGUGAGUAACACGUGGGUAAUCUGCCCUCGGCACCGGGAUAGCCCGGGGAAACCCGGAUUAAUACCGGAUGGCCCAUCCGCUCCUCGGAGCGGCUGGAAAAGGUAGCUUCGGCCUCCGGCCGAGGAGGAGCCCGCGGCGGAUUAGCUUGUUGGUGAGGUAACGGCUCACCAAGGCAACGAUCCGUAGCUGGUCUGAGAGGACGAUCAGCCACACUGGGACUGAGACACGGCCCAGACUCCUACGGGAGGCAGCAGUGGGGAAUCUUGCGCAAUGGGCGAAAGCCUGACGCAGCGACGCCGCGUGCGGGAAGAAGGCCUUCGGGUUGUAAACCGCUUUCAGGAGGGACGAAGCCACUCGGGUUAAUAGCCCAGAGGGUGACGGUACCUCCAGAAGAAGCCCCGGCUAACUACGUGCCAGCCGCCGCGGUAACAC